rnacentral:rRNA from 1 species
UGCGGAGGGAUCAUUACACAAAUAUGAAGGCGGGCUGGAACCUCUCGGGGUUACAGCCUUGCUGAAUUAUUCACCCUUGUCUUUUGCGUACUUCUUGUUUCCUUGGUGGGUUCGCCCACCACUAGGACAAACAUAAACCUUUUGUAAUUGCAAUCAGCGUCAGUAACAAAUUAAUAAUUACAACUUUCAACAACGGAUCUCUUGGUUCUGGCAUCGAUGAAGAACGCAGCGAAAUGCGAUAAGUAGUGUGAAUUGCAGAAUUCAGUGAAUCAUCGAAUCUUUGAACGCACAUUGCGCCCUUUGGUAUUCCAAAGGGCAUGCCUGUUCGAGCGUCAUUUGUACCCUCAAGCUUUGCUUGGUGUUGGGCGUCUUGUCUCUAGCUUUGCUGGAGACUCGCCUUAAAGUAAUUGGCAGCCGGCCUACUGGUUUCGGAGCGCAGCACAAGUCGCACUCUCUAUCAGCAAAGGUCUAGCAUCCAUUAAGCCUUUUUUUCAACUUUUGACCUCGGAUCAGGUAGGGAUACCCGCUGAACUUAAGCAUAUCAAUAAGCGGAG